AUACGUAGGUGGCAAGCGUUAUCCGGAAUUAUUGGGCGUAAAGAGUGAGCAGGCGGUUAAUUAAGUCUGAGGUUAAAGCGUGGGGCUCAACCCCAUAAAGCCUUGGAAACUUCUUGACUAGAGGACGGGAAAAGUGAAGGGAACUCCAUUGGGAGCGGUGAAAUGCGUAGAUAUAUGGAAGAACACCAGUGGCGAAGGCGCUUCACUAGCCCGAAACUGACGCUCAGUCACGAAAGCGUGGGUAGCAAAUAGGAUUAGAUACCCUAGUAGUCCACGCUGUAAACGAUGACAACUAAAUAUUGCCGCGAGGCAGUGUUGAAGCUAACGCAUUAAGUUGUCCGCCUGGGGAGUACGGUCGCAAGACUGAAACUUAAAGGAAUGGGCGGGG
rnacentral:rRNA from 1 species